rnacentral:rRNA from 1 species
GAUGAACGCUGGCGGCGUGCCUAAUACAUGCAAGUCGAGCGAACAGACGAGGAGCUUGCUCCUCUGACGUUAGCGGCGGACGGGUGAGUAACACGUGGAUAACCUACCAAUAAGACUGGGAUAACUUCGGGAAACCGGAGCUAAUACCGGAUAAUAUAUUGAACCGCAUGGUUCAAUAGUGAAAGACGGUUUUGCUGUCACUUAUAGAUGGAUCCGCGCCGCAUUAGCUAGUUGGUAAGGUAACGGCUUACCAAGGCAACGAUGCGUAGCCGACCUGAGAGGGUGAUCGGCCACACUGGAACUGAGACACGGUCCAGACUCCUACGGGAGGCAGAAGUAGGGAAUCUUCCGCAAUGGGCGAAAGCCUGACGGAGCAACGCCGCGUGAGUGAUGAAGGUCUUCGGAUCGUAAAACUCUGUUAUUAGGGAAGAACAAAUGUGUAAGUAACUAUGCACGUCUUGACGGUACCUAAUCAGAAAGCCACGGCUAACUACG